GCAAUGGGCCCACAUGCAAGGGCUUGUCCCGAUCCUCUACUAGUCAAAGUAGUGAGAAGUGUACCCUCCCCUCCAGGCUAUCGAUGCGUAAUCCUGAUUUGUUGCUUUGUAGCUAUGGCAGCUCUGUGAUUACUGGGUUGUGGAUAGGGGCGAGAACCCCUCCCUAAGAUGAGGAAAUGAAUUACCUGCAUUUAGAAACGUGUUUGCCGACGGAUAAAACAGGGAAGCAGCUCAAGCAAACAGCCCAUAAUGUGACUUGGGCUCAAAAGCAGUUCUGAAAACUGAGUGAAGAAAACAAGCCUCAAUGAAAAUCACCUUGCAAAUCUGGUUUGUCUUGGAGAAAGCACUUAUACUAGGCACAUUUGAUUCCUAAAGAUAUAAUAUUGGCAAGCCAAAACAGUAUCAGAAGACAUUGACUUGAAAUUUGUUGGGGUGACUGUCCAUGAAUAUGUUUUUCCAGUGAUAAAAGAAGACACAGCCUUCUUCAAAACUUGGAUUCCAAACUAAUGAUUUGUAAACGGUCAGCUAAUUUGGUAAUAUUAUUGUUGUUUUCACCCUAGUAGACAGGAAAAACUCUACUUUUCUUUUACAAGUUUUAAAAUUGAAUGUCAUCGUGUAUGUUUCA